ACAGUGGACGCGAGCAUCUGUGGCCAAGUUUUUAAGGGCGCACGGUGGAUGCCUUGGCACCAGGAACCGAUGAAGGACGUGGGAGGCCGCGAUAGUCCCCGGGGAGUCGUCAACCAGGCUUUGAUCCGGGGGUUUCCGAAUGGGGAAACCCGGCAGUCGUCAUGGGCUGUCACCCACUGCUGAACACAUAGGCAGUGUGGAGGGAACGCGGGGAAGUGAAACAUCUCAGUACCCGCAGGAAGAGAAAACAACCGUGAUUCCGGGAGUAGUGGCGAGCGAAACCGGAUGAGGCCAAACCGUAUGCGUGUGAGACCCGGCAGGGGUUGCGCAUGCGGGGUGGUGGGAUCUCUCUUUCACAGUCUGCCGGCUGUGAGACGAGUCAGAAACCGUUGAUGUAGGCGAAGGACAUGCGAAAGGUCCGGCGUAGAGGGUAAGACCCCCGUAGUCGAAACGUCAGCGGCUCGUUUGAGAGACACCCAAGUAGCACGGGGCCCGAGAAAUCCCGUGUGAAUCUGGCGGGACCACCCGCUAAGCCUAAAUAUUCCCUGGUGACCGAUAGCGGAUAGUACCGUGAGGGAAUGGUGAAAAGUACCCCGGGAGGGGAGUGAAAUAGUACCUGAAACCGUGUGCCUACAAGCCGUGGGAGCGUCGGACAUCAGCUUGCUGGUGUCUCGUGACUGCGUGCCUUUUGAAGAAUGAGCCUGCGAGUUUGCGGUGUGUUGCGAGGUUAACCCGGGUGGGGUAGCCGUAGCGAAAGCGAGUCCGAAUAGGGCGAUUCAGUAGCACGCUCAAGACCCGAAGCGGAGUGAUCUAGCCAUGGGCAGGUUGAAGCGGAGGUAAGACUUCGUGGAGGACCGAACCCACCAGGGUUGAAAACCUGGGGGAUGACCUGUGGUUAGGGGUGAAAGGCCAAUCAAACUCCGUGAUAGCUGGUUCUCCCCGAAAUGCAUUUAGGUGCAGCGUCGUGUGUUUCUUGCCGGAGGUAGAGCACUGGAUAGGCGAUGGGCCCUACCGGGUUACUGACCUUAGCCAAACUCCGAAUGCCGGUAAGUGAGAGCGCGGCAGUGAGACUGUGGGGGAUAAGCUCCAUGGUCGAGAGGGAAACAGCCCAGAGCAUCGACUAAGGCCCCUAAGCGUACGCUAAGUGGGAAAGGAUGUGGAGUCGCACAGACAACCAGGAGGUUGGCUUAGAAGCAGCCACCCUUGAAAGAGUGCGUAAUAGCUCACUGGUCUAGUGAUUCCGCGCCGACAAUGUAGCGGGGCUCAAGCGUACCGCCGAAGUCGUGUCAUUGACACAUAUAGCCCCAACGGGUGUGUUGAUGGGUAGGGGAGCGUCGUCUGCCGGGUGAAGCAGCACCGGAAGGUAGUUGUGGACGGUUGACGAGUGAGAAUGCAGGCAUGAGUAGCGAUACAAACGUGAGAAACGUUUGCGCCGAUUGACUAAGGGUUCCUGGGUCAAGCUGAUCUGCCCAGGGUAAGUCGGGACCUAAGGCGAGGCCGACAGGCGUAGUCGAUGGAUAACCGGUUGAUAUUCCGGUACCCGCUGUGAAGCGUCAAACAUCGAAUCCAGUGAUGCUAAGCCCGUGAAGCCGCCCCUGAUCUCUUCGGAGUGAGGGGGAGUGGUGGAGCCGGUGACCCGAGCUGGUAGUAGGUGAGUGAUGGGGUGACGCAGGAAGGUAGUCCAUCCCGGGCGGUGGUUGUCCCGGGGUAAGGGUGUAGGACGCAGGGUAGGCAAAUCCGCCCUGCACAUAGUCUGAGACCUGAUGCCGAGCCGAUUGUGGUGAAGUGGAUGAUCCUAUGCUGUCGAGAAAAGCCUCUAGCGAGUUUCAUGGCGGCCCGUACCCUAAACCGACUCAGGUGGUCAGGUAGAGAAUACCGAGGCGUUCGGGUGAACUAUGGUUAAGGAACUCGGCAAAAUGCCCCCGUAACUUCGGAGAAGGGGGGCCAUUCCUGGUGACCGGCUUUGCGCCGUGAGCUGGGGGUGGCCGCAGAGACCAGCGAGAAGCGACUGUUUACUAAAAACACAGGUCCGUGCGAAGCCGUAAGGCGAUGUAUACGGACUGACGCCUGCCCGGUGCUGGAACGUUAAGGGGACCGGUUAGUGACCUUUCGGGGUUGCGAAGCUGAGAACUUAAGCGCCAGUAAACGGCGGUGGUAACUAUAACCAUCCUAAGGUAGCGAAAUUCCUUGUCGGGUAAGUUCCGACCUGCACGAAUGGCGUAACGACUUCUCGACUGUCUCAACCAUAGGCCCGGUGAAAUUGCACUACGAGUAAAGAUGCUCGUUUCGCGCAGCAGGACGGAAAGACCCCGGGACCUUUACUACAGUUUGAUAUUGGUGUUCGGUUCGGCUU
rnacentral:rRNA from 1 species